rnacentral:rRNA from 1 species
UGGGGAAUCUUGGACAAUGGGCGCAAGCCUGAUCCAGCCAUGCCGCGUGAGUGAAGAAGGCCUUCGGGUUGUAAAGCUCUUUUACCAGGGACGAUAAUGACGGUACCUGGAGAAUAAGCCCCGGCAAACUUCGUGCCAGCAGCCGCGGUAAUACGAAGGGGGCUAGCGUUGUUCGGAAUUACUGGGCGUAAAGCGCACGUAGGCGGAUUGUUAAGUCAGAGGUGAAAUCCCGGAGCUCAACUUCGGAACUGCCUUUGAUACUGGCAAUCUCGAGUCCGGAAGAGGUUAGUGGAAUUCCCAGUGUAGAGGUGAAAUUCGUAGAUAUUGGGAAGGAACACCAGUGGCGAAGGCGGCUAACUGGUCCGGUACUGACGCUGAGGUACGAAAGCGUGGGGAGCAAACAGGAUUAGAUACCCAUGUAGUCCCUGAGCGGGCUGGCAAGGCGCAU